GAGCCAGAAUUUGGCUGUAAAUAAACCAAGAACAUUCAAAUUCUCAGAUCAAUAAUCACUAAAUCAAACCAAACUUUGUUUAUAGAGCCCUUUUCAUACAUUUGAUGCACAAAAGAUGUUGCAUACUUACAUUUGUAACUUAAAAAAACAAAAGCAAAAAUAUGGUGUUAAAUUUCCAUCAAAAGUCUCUCACGAGCAUAUAUCAAACUCCACGCACGCAAUGUACUCCACACACAAGGAGCGUUCCAUGGGCGCAGGACCCUUACGGCAAGCCAAUAGGGUCAACACUUACCUGAAGUCCUGUGCUCACUCUUAGCUCUGCAUGGCUAAACCACAGCACACGCCAAAUCUGCAUUUAAGCAACACUGUUAGUUUGUCAUCCUCAAAUUCUGAGCAGCUUCUCUGUAUAAACAUCCUAACCUGCGACUGCAACCGUCUGAGCCUUUUAUCAUCAUCUGCAGCGUCUUCAGCUCCAAGAUCUAAAGGCCUGCUUCUGGAAGGAACGGUGGGAAUCGAUUCAGGGCUAAAUGAAGCUGACCUUUCUGUCUCCUGGUCUGAAGGAGCCUCACUUCGUACCUAAAUGUUCUGUCCACCGUUUGUGGUGUUCUUUUUUGACCUCUGUGCUGCCCACUCUGUUAGACUCGCUGAAACCUGGCCCAGUCGGGGGCUCCGUCUCAGAACAGCGGUUCCCAAACCCUCC